rnacentral:lncRNA from 1 species
AUGAUCGAACAGGAUCAGCCCCCCGCCUCCCCCACAGCCUCCUCCAGCCCCAUGGGUCACGCUCCCUCCCGCUGUCGGCUCCGCUCUUCACCUCCCCUGGCUCGGCCUCCAUCCCCUCACACUGAUGGAGCUGGGCCUGCAGAGCUCUCCCGUGCGAGGGCCGAUCCCCCCGCAGUCCCCCAGGGGAGCGCUGGGUGUUGUAGUCUCCACCCGCCGCUCCUCCGCUCAGCGCCAGCGGGCGGUGGGUACCGCGGGACUACACUUCCCGUCGUGCCAUGCGGCAGGCCGCCCCCACCCCCGGCCCACGGCCGCCCCCAGCGCAGCGGCACGGGCAGCGCCGCCGGGCCGGAUGUUGUUGGGCCGCAGCGCCCCGCGGCCCCGCCAUUACCUGGGAGGAGCGGGGAAGCUCCAUCAGAGCCUGAACCUCCAGACAGAGUUUGUGAUGGAAUAGCAACAUAGAAGGAUGCAGUCAACGUCUUUCACACAAGACAAUGAAUUCUGUGGGGUCCCAUUUUUCAGUGAGGCUCUAGGCUUUGCAGGAUGCAUGUUCUCAGAUUACGGUCAGGUGUGGAGCAAAGUGUUCGUCCCACUGACAUCCAUGGCAAAAUUCCCAUUGAUCCGAAUAACACUGAAAUCAUGUGCUAGCAUUUCUAACUGCUGCCUGCCAGAAUCGACUUCAGACCUGCACAUCCUGCCUUAUGCGUCACUAUUAGUAAUGAAGGUUCUGCAGCCCACAUCGUGUCUGCCGUUAUGUUCUCAAGAAGUGAUCAAGACAAGUCUAAAUGAAGAAUGAGAGACCCCAGCAACGGGAGGGGUCGUUGCACAGUCAGUGUACUUGUUAACAGUCUCCUUGCAGUUACUGCAGAUGAAUCCAUCUGCCUUUUAUGCACACACUCCGUGCUGACGAAAUGAGCCAUAUGAGAGCUGUUUGAGUCAGCUUGCACUGACGUGGAUGCGUGCUGUCCUCGCUGGCAAGUGUCCCAGGUUACAGGUGUACUGCCAAGACCUCUGCAAAGCCCGUGUCAUGUCCCUGCUGUCACAUUUGACCUUUUCUGAUUAAAAGACAGUCUAACAUUUUUGAGCAAAUUGAGAGAUCUCAUCCAGCUUUGUAAGUGCCUAGUUAAGACAGUGCAUUCGGCUCUAUGGCACCACGUGCAGCUAUAAACAAGCGCUGUCUUGAGAAAAUAGUCUCAAAGAAUAAUCUUUCCACUAAAACACUCAUGAAGUACGCACUAUCAUCAGAAGCUGUAUGCUAUAAGAGAAAUAAGCAAUUUAAAGUACAGAUUAUAAGGGAACACAAAGGGAGAAAACGCCUGUGUAUGCGGUGUACAGAGGUCCUCUUUUUGCUGUUGAGGAUGGCUGAAUGCGGUCCUGGUAAGGAAAAAAGGAUCAUUCUCUCUCCCUUUAUUGUCCACUUGUUCCAUACUGUAGGAGUCUUCUCAAGCUUACUUGAAGGUAUGGCCACCCCGUCCUGGUAUAUUCUUGAUAAUUUCUAUGUAAAUGCUCAGUGAAUACUCUGGCUGUUGUGCUAGAUGGAGAGAGGGGAGCUGUUGCUCAUCUGGCAUUUGUUAUCUACAGCUGUCUUUCCCUCUUUCAUAGUUCUUUCAGGUUAUAGAUAAGCUAGAGGAAAAUAAAAGGAAGUUUUUCAUACCA